rnacentral:lncRNA from 1 species
AGGGUCUUCUCAAUGGCUCACCUCAAUCCCCUCAUGCCAUCACCUUACCAUUACCACCAAUUAAUCCACUCACCCCCACCAAGAGGCAGGGCAAGCCCUGCAGAGCCCUCAGCGGUGGCCACCCUGGCACAUCUUUUACAAUGCGAAAGGAAAACGUACCUGAAUGAGCUUCAGGUGAAUCACUGCAUGAGCCCCUCAAGUGGAACUUAUUUUCCAGGAAUGCAUUUUACCUGGCUAGUUUUGAGGCACAUGACCUCCCAACACUUGAGGAAUCAUCUGCUAAUGGCACAGUCAGAGUCAUGCCCAUUCACCAUGUAAAGCCACUUGGAUUGCUCUGACCACGUGGCCGCAGGCCCACUCUAAAGAGGAAUGACUCUGUCAACCCUGACACGUUGGAUAACCUUGAGAAGUCAGUAAUUUCGUAUGACGUAGAACAAACCAGGAAUCCAAUACUCUGAGUCUAAAUAACAGGAGAAGCAAAAAGUUCGAGGAUCUGUGACAGUGAGAUAAGGCAAGAACAUGUAAUUUUCAGAGAGACUGCCAUUCCUGCCCCCAGCCUCUGGCUAGACAGUGCCAUCUGGGGCUUGAGAUAUGGCUUUCCGUGGAGGAUUACUCUGGGGUUACUGCCAGGAGCAAAGCAGCUGGAAAAGUGCAGCAUCCUAAAAGCACUUGUAACCAAGGAAGAAAACAAGUUUCUGCUCCAAUUUUUGCUAAUUUUGUAAGCAACGAUUAAAAAAGAAGGAGAAAAGAAACAGACCUAAGAAUAAUGUUUGUUUACAUUUGUGUAAUGUAGCUGGACAUAUAUGAGGUCCCUCACUCACAAAAUUGAGUCCUAGACUAAAUGGUGAAGGAUGAAACCCUGACUGCCCGCCUUCUUGCCCCAUUUACUCUCAGAAAACUGGCUGAUGCACUCAUUUAUACUAAGGUAUAAACGACUAAAAGGAUUAAUGGAUUAUCUUUGUAGGAGCAUUUGCUUUAGAGCAGGGGAAAAGUCUCUCCCCAAAGAGCUGACAGUUUUAGUGGUAGAAUUUCAGCAGAGCGCAAAACUCAUCCACAGACACG